rnacentral:rRNA from 1 species
UAGGGAAUCUUCCGCAAUGGACGCAAGUCUGACGGAGCAACGCCGCGUGAGUGAGGAAGGCCUUCGGGUCGUAAAGCUCUGUUGCCAGGGAAGAAUGUCGAGGAGAGUAACUGCUCUUCGAAUGACGGUACCUGAGAAGAAAGCCCCGGCUAACUACGUGCCAGCAGCCGCGGUAAUACGUAGGGGGCAAGCGUUGUCCGGAAUUAUUGGGCGUAAAGCGCGCGCAGGCGGCUUUGUAAGUCUGGUGUUUAAACCCGAGGCUCAACCUCGGGUCGCAUUGGAAACUGCAAGGCUUGAGUGCAGAAGAGGAAAGUGGAAUUCCACGUGUAGCGGUGAAAUGCGUAGAGAUGUGGAGGAACACCAGUGGCGAAGGCGACUUUCUGGGCUGUAACUGACGCUGAGGCGCGAAAGCGUGGGGAGCAAACAGG